GUGGGGAAUAUUGGACAAUGGGCGAAAGCCUGAUCCAGCCAUGCCGCGUGAGUGAUGAAGGCCUUCGGGUUGUAAAGCUCUUUAGUCCACGAAUAUAAUGACUGUAGUGGAAGAAUAAGCCCCGGCUAACUUCGUGCCAGCAGCCGCGGUAAUACGAAGGGGGCGAGCGUUAUUCGGAAUCACUGGGCGUAAAGCGUGCGUAGGCUGUUUUGUAAGUCAGAAGUGAAAGCCCAGGGCUUAACCCUGGAAUUGCUUUUGAAACUACAAGACUCGAAUUCGGGAGAGGAUAGCGGAAUUGUCAGUGUAGCAGUGAAAUGCGUAGAUAUUGACAGGAACACCAGUGGCGCAAGCGGCUAUCUGGACCGAUAUUGACGCUGAGGCACGAAAGCGUGGGGAGCAAACAGGAUUAGAUACCCGGGUAGUCC
rnacentral:rRNA from 1 species